rnacentral:rRNA from 1 species
UGGGGAAUAUUGCACAAUGGAGGGAACUCUGAUGCAGCGACGCCGCGUGAACGAAGAAGGCUUUCGAGUCGUAAAGUUCUUUUAUAUGGGAAGAUAAUGCCGGUACCAUAAGAAAAAGCCCCGGCUAACUACGUGCCAGCAGCCGCGGUAAUACGUAGGGGGCUAGCGUUGUCCGGAAUCACUGGGCGUAAAGGGUUCGCAGGCGGAAAUGCAAGUCAGGUGUAAAAGGCAGUAGCUUAACUACUGUAAGCAUUUGAAACUGCAUAUCUUGAGAAGAGUAGAGGUAAGUGGAAUUGUUAGUGUAGCGGUGAAAUGCGUAGAUAUUAAAAAGAAUACCGGUGGCGAAGGCGACUUACUGGGCUCAUUCUGACGCUGAGGAACGAAAGCGUGGGUAGCAAACAGG